CUGUUCGCCGUUCCCCCUCGAAGCCGACUGGGGAUGGACAAGUCGACGCGGCAUCGAGUCGCCUCAGCCAUGACUCCCCCAGAUAGACUUCAGCGGCCCACGACGGCAGUUGAACGCCGUGUAUAGUGUCCACGACGGAUCUUCUCAGUGGAUAUGUGCGUCACCGUUCUUGAUCGGAUACCUCCAGGGAGCACUGGAUUACCAUGACAGAAUCCUACUGUCAUUUACUGAGAAGAAAUACACAAGGAAUAUGUGCAAGAUGAGCACGUGAUGUUUAGUGCUGUGCGCUGCCCUUCGUGUUGUGUACAAAGAAAUAUCCCUGAAGCUAUGUCUCGCGGGGCUCUGGUGACGCGCCCUGGUUGUAUGUGCGACAAAGUUGAACAUCUUGGAUACAUGUCUGGCCAAAGCGCAAUAAAUGAAGGCGUUCGCAACCACCGAUGCCACACUGAAUAUCGUACAGCGCCUUGUGCAACCUGGGUGAGCGCAUAGAGAAAACAACUGUACUUCCAGAAUAAUUCUGACAGGGUGACGUGGUCCCCAACGUGUGGAAGGCAAGCCGCGUGGUCCCACUUCUAAAGAACGGUCUCGUGGAGCGCUUUUUUUUUUUCAUUUUUUGGGAGCACUGGACGUCGGCAUAUGGCGACGUACAGGGUAAGCUGAUGCUGAUGCUGACCGUGAUUAUUAUGCGCACUGCCAGGCGCAGCAAUGUGGUUAUAAAGAGAGCCUCGAGGGCGCUCGGCGCUGCGAAAGUAUGUUAUUGAAAGCGGAUAUUAAACCGUUCUACAGAAAAAUAUAGUGCCGCCAUUGAUGAACAAGAAGACCUUGAGAACGUGAAAAAGCGAGAAAGAAGUACUUCUACAGUAUA